rnacentral:rRNA from 1 species
GGACCAAGGAGUCUAGCAUGUGCGCGAGUCAUUGGGAACACGACUAAACCUAAAGGCGAAGUGAAAGCGAAGGUCUCGCCCAGAGCGGACCGUGGGAGGACGGGCGCCCGCUCCAACCGGCGGUCGCCCCGCACUCCCGGGGCGUCUCGCACUCAUCGCGAGGCGAGGCGCACCGCGAGCGUACACGCUGGGACCCGAAAGAUGGUGAACUAUGCCUGGUCAGGACGAAGUCAGGGGAAACCCUGAUGGAGGUCCGUAGCGAUUCUGACGUGCAAAUCGAUCGUCGGAACUGGGUAUAGGGGCGAAAGACUAAUCGAACCAUCUAGUAGCUGGUUCCCUCCGAAGUUUCCCUCAGGAUAGCUGGCGCUCGGGCGAAACGAACGCACGAGUCUCAUCCGGUAAAGCGAAUGAUUAGAGGCAUUGGGGUCGAAACGGCCUCAACCUAUUCUCAAACUUUAAAUGGGUGAGAUCUCCGGCUUGCUUGAACCGUGAAGCCGGAGAUCGGAUCAACGGGCGCCAAGUGGGCCACUUUUGGUAAGCAGAACUGGCGCUGUGGGAUGAACCAAACGUCGAGUUAAAGCGCCAAAAUCGACGCUUAUGGGACACCAUGAAAGGCGUUGGUAACUUAAGACAGCAGGACGGUGGCCAUGGAAGUCGGA